GGGGAAUCAUCUUUCUUCUUCUUCUUCUUCUUCUCUCUCGCUCUCUCUCUCUCUCUCUCUCUGCUCCAGCUGAACUCUCUUCAGGCUCCCAUCAUGGCCUCCCUCCACCGAAGAAGGAAAAAAAGAAGGCGGAAGGAUAUAAAAGUGAGUCCGCAUGCGACGCUCCCCCUUCUGUCAAAGUGAUCACGUGUUGCUGUAAUUAGGGAAGUUUCCAACAUAUAAUGUCACUUUUUUGUGGUUUUAAACUGUCAUUUCAAGGCUGGA